rnacentral:rRNA from 1 species
AACGAACGCUGGCGGCAUGCCUAACACAUGCAAGUCGAACGAGACCUUCGGGUCUAGUGGCGCACGGGUGCGUAACGCGUGGGAACCUGCCCUUAUGUUCGGAAUAACUCCCCGAAAGGGGUGCUAAUACCGGAUAAUUUCUUCGGACCAAAGAUUUAUCGCCUUUGGAUGGGCCCGCGUUGGAUUAGCUAGUUGGUAGGGUAAAAGCCUACCAAGGCGACGAUCCAUAGCUGGUCUGAGAGGAUGAUCAGCCACACUGGGACUGAGACACGGCCCAGACUCCUACGGGAGGCAGCAGUGGGGAAUAUUGGACAAUGGGCGAAAGCCUGAUCCAGCAAUGCCGCGUGAGUGAUGAAGGCCUUAGGGUUGUAAAGCUCUUUUACCCGGGAUGAUAAUGACAGUACCGGGAGAAUAAGCUCCGGCUAACUCCGUG